GAUGAACGCUGGCGGCGUGCCUAAUACAUGCAAGUCGAGCGAACAGACGAGGAGCUUGCUCCUCUGACGUUAGCGGCGGACGUGUGAGUAACACGUGUAUAACCUACCUAUAAGACUGGGAUAACUUCGGGAAACCGGAGCUAAUACCGGAUAAUAUAUUGAACCGCAUGGUUCAAUAGUGAAAUACGGUUUUGCUGUCACUUAUAGAUGGAUCCGCGCCGCAUUAGCUAGUUGGUAAGGUAACGGCUUACCAAGGCAACGAUGCGUAGCCGACCUGAGAGAGUGAUCGGCCACACUGGAGCUGAGACACGGUCCAGACUCCUACGGGAGGCAGCAGUAGGGAAUCUUACGCAAUAGGCGAAAGCCUGACGGAGCAACGCGGCGUGAGUGAUGAAGGUCUUCGGAUCGUAAAACUCUGUUAUUAGGGAAGAACAAAUGUGUAAGUAACUAUGCACGUCUUGACGGUAACUAAUAAGAAAGCCACGGCUAACUACGUG
rnacentral:rRNA from 1 species